UACGUAGGGUCCGAGCGUUGUCCGGAAUUACUGGGCGUAAAGCGUGCGCAGGCGGUUUUGUAAGUUUGUCGUGAAAUCCCCGGGCUCAACCUGGGAAUGGCGAUGAAGACUGCAAGGCUAGAAUCUGGCAGAGGGGGGUAGAAUUCCACGUGUAGCAGUGAAAUGCGUAGAGAUGUGGAGGAACACCGAUGGCGAAGGCAGCCCCCUGGGUCAAGAUUGACGCUCAUGCACGAAAGGCGUGGGGAGC
rnacentral:rRNA from 1 species